CAAGUAAAUCGGGUGACCGCUGCAUACUGAACGUAUGGAGAGGAAAGUCCGAGCUCCGCCGAGCAAGGUGCUGGGUAACACCCAGGAGGGGCGACCCUACGGAAAGUGCCACAGAAACAUACCGCUCCUGUUUUUGGAGCAAGGGUGAAAUGGUGAGGUAAGAGCUCACCAGCAACUAGGUGACUGGUUGGCUGGGUAAACCCCACCCGGAGCAAGACCGAAUAGAAGGGCGCUUGAGGUGCUCGGCCGAUGCCCUCGGGUUGGUCGCUUGACCCCGAUGGUAACAUCGGGGCUAGAUGGAUGGUCACCACCCUGAAAGCCGCCCACCGAAAUUUCUGGUUUCGGUGGGAACCCGCGACAGGGUACAGAACUCGGCUUACAGAUUUACUUGCCCC
rnacentral:RNase_P_RNA from 1 species